UAUUAUGUUCGUUGCAGGGUUGUUUUUGUAACCACCCUGGUUUUCACGUAUUGGGAAUUGGCUGCAACAUACCGCAACAAAUAUACAUGAAAACCCAUACAGUGACAAUUGCGCCCAACGUUAUUUAAAGACGAGAAGAAGUACUAUAAACAUCGACUGCGAAUUAGGCUAUAUACAAUCGUGGACCUCCUGGACGCAACCUACUGACUCGUUUUUGUAACGUAUCAGAUAAUAUCUGCGACUUUUGUCGACACACGGUUCGGAUGGUGUCAUGUUACACGGCGUGUACAACCGGCCUUACUCGACUCUCAGCGCAACAUUCAGACACCAGUAAACAUAUUCGACUAUCGUCGACACACGGUUCCGAUGUUGUCAUAGUACACGGCUUUUACAACCGACGACCGUACCCGGACUCCAAGCGCAACAUUCCGACACACGACGUAUCCAGGGAGGAGGAGUCCUACCUAGAAAAAGACGGACGUUCUUUGCUCCAAGGAUAACCCGAUUGCGUGUCUUUCUUCCCCGGGGACAUACAUUUUCAAUUGUGCGCCUAAACAUUUGAACGGACAGACUUCUAAAUUCUGCCGAUGACAGGGAGGAUUCGCCGCGGAUCGUGUUGGACAAUUAUAAUUGGACUUAAAGUGACAAGUCAGGUUGUUUCCUGGAUGUUUACGGAUUGUAAAUUCAAGUUCCACAUACUGUGCCAACUUAAUGGGUUCUGGAAACCAGGCCACGGACAGAUGCAUCUGUAACACCGACUAUGUUCUCUGGGUCGACGGAAAAUGUACUAAAUCUAACGCAGCUGGUGUUGAAGCAUCAAUGACCCUUCUGCUGAUCUGAUUUCUAACAAAGAAGCUCUAAAUUAAACGGACGACGCACAGAUUCAACAACUCAGUUAUAUUUAACAGAAAUGCCUCUUAAAAUAAUUAAAACCUUAAUUAUUUAGACUGAACCUCAAAGGAUACAUUUGUUAAAGAUGAAUAUAUAGUUAUUUAAAAAAUUGUUGAACAUGUCAAUUUCUAAAUUUCAUUCAACGAGUGUUUUAAUUAUUAUUUCACUACAAGAAACAAACCAUGUUGAUGUGUAUAGAUCUGUAAAUAAGUAAUGUUCGUUUCAAUUCGUCAUGCAUAAAAUAGGGAAUACAAAUAGAGCCUUAAAAUCAAAAACAAAAAAAUGAUACAAAUUAACAUGUAUUUUUUUAACUUAUGUUAAAUCUGAGUAGUUUAUUUUUAAGUACGGAGUUUCUUAUCCAACGAGAAAAAAAAUGUUAAAAUGUUAAGAACCGAUCUCCAAAGCAUACAUUAUUAUGUUGUCGUAAACAGGUUUCUCGUUCAAGCAAAAUCAUUUGUUUUUUAA